rnacentral:rRNA from 1 species
AACGAACGCUGGCGGCAUGCCUAACACAUGCAAGUCGAACGAGACCUUCGGGUCUAGUGGCGCACGGGUGCGUAACGCGUGGGAACCUGCCCUUAGGUUCGGAAUAACUCCCCGAAAGGGGUGCUAAUACCGGAUAAUGUCUUCGGACCAAAGAUUUAUCGCCUUUGGAUGGGCCCGCGUUGGAUUAGCUAGUUGGUAGGGUAAAAGCCUACCAAGGCGACGAUCCAUAGCUGGUCUGAGAGGAUGAUCAGCCACACUGGGACUGAGACACGGCCCAGACUCCUACGGGAGGCAGCAGUGGGGAAUAUUGGAAAAUGGGCGAAAGCCUGAUCCAGCAAUGCCGCGUGAGUGAUGAAGGCCUUAGGGUUGUAAAGCUCUUUUACCCGGGAUGAUACUGACAGUACCGGGAGAAUAAGCUCCGGCUAACUCCGUG